CAGAAGGUGAACACCCACAUGCUUUUAAUCUCCAGAACUGUUUUCAGGAACCCUUCAAUCUGACCCCGAGCCAUGUAAUUUAUUUUGCAAUAUUUGGCAUGAGGAUCGUAGACCAUUUCUUGGAGCAUUAACCGGUGACGAGGGCGCGACUUCCAUCCAUUUAGCUGCCCACAAAAUGUACUGCCAGGAGUUGAUCUGUCAACAGAGAGAUGCCCUUGUGUUUGCGAUGAAAACAUCGGAUUGUUUUCUGGUCAAGUGAAUCCCUCCUAAUGGAGACGUGAGGGAUCGGACAAUGCCGAAGCUGAAUGUCAAAAAUGUAACCGCUUCCAUACGAGCUUUAUUUGCAGAGAUAAAACCAAAACAAUACCCUGCAAUGGGGAUAUAUAGGAACAAGACCAGAAUCGUAAAUGAUGUGCGACAGAGUAAGGUUCCACAGCAUCUGACAGAUCCCAUUGGCUAUAAUGGUUUCUGUCCAGUGUCCAUCAUGGCGUCAGACAUUUAACCAGCCAAAAAUAGUGCUUUCAGCUCAAACCGGACAGGAAUAAGAAUGACCAUCGCGGCCGGUAUCAGGAGACCGAGGAAUGUGAGAGCCAAUUUGCCGCGUUCCACUUGACUGGCCGUCUUCAUUUGACUCCUAUUAGCUCCCAUAAUGUAUCUCUGCCAUUAAUCAGCUCCCAGAAACGCUAGGACAGGUGUAACUGGCCCGCUUCCAGAUAGAAGGUGACUGCCUACAUGUGUCUCCUUCCCAGCAAGACAAAAGGAGAAGACAACAAAACCGGGUUCGGAAGAUGAAGCCCCCGGAUGACUGACAAGAAGAGAAAAUAGAAUCUCCGGUUGUUACAUUUUGUGGUUUGAAUUGGAUUCAA